AUGGGAACGCGAAGAACCUUACCUAGACUUGACAUCUCCUGAAUAGUGUAGAGAUACAUGAAGCCCUUCGGGGCAGGAAGACAGGUGGUGCAUGGUUGUCGUCAGCUCGUGUCGUGAGAUGUUGGGUUAAGUCCCGCAACGAGCGCAACCCUUAUUACUAGUUGCUACCAUUAAGUUGAGCACUCUAGUGAGACUGCCCGGGUUAACCGGGAGGAAGGCGGGGAUGACGUCAAAUCAUCAUGCCCCUUAUGUCUAGGGCAACACACGUGCUACAAUGGUGAGUACAGAUAGAUGCGAUACCGCAAGGUGGAGCCAAACUCUAAAACUCAUCCCAGUUCGGAUUGUAGGCUGCAACUCGCCUACAUGAAGUUGGAGUUGCUAGUAAUCGCGAAUCAGAAUGUCGCGGUGAAUACGUUCCCGGGUCGUUGUUACACACCG
rnacentral:rRNA from 1 species